rnacentral:lncRNA from 1 species
AGUCUUGCCGGCCUCUCAGAGAGUCAGCCAACCCCUGAGGCCUUUCGGGGACUGAUAACGCUCACCUUUGGCUCAGACUGAAUCCAAACACUUCACCUCUUUUUCUUCACAGAGCCCCAUCCUCCAAAGGACCCUGUUCCAGCUUGUGACAAACCCAGAGGCAAUCCUGGUCAUCCGGAGGAGGAGGUGUCUGUGCCGUUGCUUGGAGCUGACUGUAGGCCUAGAGGCACAGGAUUAUACAGGAUUGUAAGAGAAUUGUAUUUUUCUUCCUUGCAUUUUUCGGUGUUUUCUAAAUUUUUUCAAUGAGUAUCCUUUUGAGAAUCAUUAAAAAAGAAUACAUUUUACUUGACAAGGUAUAUAAAUACAUGGGUUAAGAUAUUAAAAUAGAAAGAGUAAGGAUUGCUUGCACGUUACAGAGUCUGGGAUUUGGAGCUCAGUGCCUGGCACUGAGGGGAUCAAAGUGCCAGGUGCUCAAAGUGUUCGUUGAAUGAGAGGCGGGGGUGGGGGUAAUGGGUGGUGAGACUGCUACCCUGUCCCUCCUCCCUCACCACAUCAAUGUCUGUGAAGCAUUUCUAGAGGAUCUACUGUGCAAUGGAACCCUGGGAGCCAGGGGUGACUGGGGAGGCAGCAGGUGCAGGUGCUGGUAAUGCCGUGCCAUUGGGAGCCCCACUGGGGGUCCUCCAUGAAUCACAGGGGACCCAUACCCAGGAUACUGAGGAAGCUUCCAGAAAAAAAGAGUGAUGCUGGCCCUGGAUUGUGAGGAUGGGCAGGGGUUUUUUGGAGUGGGAGAAGGGUACAGGUGUUCCAGGUCAUCAGUCCAAGUUCCUUCACUCCUUCAUUAUUUACUUGC